rnacentral:misc_RNA from 1 species
CGCAGCCGCGGUAAUUCCAGCUCCAAUAGCGUAUAUUAAAGUUGUUGCAGUUAAAAAGCUCGUAGUUGAAUUUCGGGAUCAGUACGUUGGUCAUGCCUUUGGUAUGCACUGGUGUCACUGGUUUCUCCCUUCUGAAGAUCCGUGAUGUCAUUAAUUUGGUGUCGCGGGGAAUCAGGACUGUUACUUUGAAAAAAUUAGAGUGUUUAAAGCAGGCUCACGCUUGAAUACAUUAGCAUGGAAUAAUGAAAUAGGACGUUUGACCCUAUUUUGUUGGUUUCUAGGAUCGACGUAAUGAUUAAUAGGGAUAGUUGGGGGCAUUAGUAUUCAAUUGUCAGAGGUGAAAUUCUUGGAUUUAUUGAAGACUAACUACUGCGAAAGCAUUUGCCAAGGAUGUUUUCAUUAAUCAAGAACGAAAGUUAGGGGAUCGAAGACGAUCAGAUACCGUCGUAGUCUUAACCAUAAACUAUGCCGACUAGGGAUCGGAUGAUGUUAAUUUUAUAAUGACUCAUUCGGCGCCUUA